rnacentral:rRNA from 1 species
UUAUUAAAGAAUUUCGAUAACCGAUGGGGAUGCGUUCCAUUAGUUUGUUGGCGGGGUAACGGCCCACCAAGACAUCGAUGGAUAGGGGUUCUGAGAGGAAGGUCCCCCACAUUGGAACUGAGACACGGUCCAAACUCCUACGGGAGGCAGCAGUGAGGAAUAUUGGUCAAUGGACGAGAGUCUGAACCAGCCAAGUAGCGUGAAGGAUGACUGCCCUAUGGGUUGUAAACUUCUUUUAUAUGGGAAUAAAGUGAGCCACGUGUGGCUUUUUGUAUGUACCAUACGAAUAAGGAUCGGCUAACUCCGUGCCAGCAGCCGCGGUAAUACGGAGGAUCCGAGCGUUAUCCGGAUUUAUUGGGUUUAAAGGGAGCGUAGGCGGACUAUUAAGUCAGCUGUGAAAGUUUGCGGCUCAACCGUAAAAUUGCAGUUGAUACUGGUCGUCUUGAGUGCAGUAGAGGUAGGCGGAAUUCGUGGUGUAGCGGUGAAAUGCUUAGAUAUCACGAAGAACUCCGAUUGCGAAGGCAGCUUACUGGACUGUAACUGACGCUGAUGCUCGAAAGUGUGGGUAUCAAACAGGAUUAGAUACCCUGGUAGUCCACACAGUAAACGA